CCUACGGGUAGCUGCAGUGGGGAAUAUUGCACAAUGGGGGAAACCCUGAUGCAGCGACGCCGCGUGAGUGAAGAAGUAAUUCGUUAUGUAAAGCUCUAUCAGCAGGGAAGAAAAUGACGGUACCUGAGUAAGAAGCCCCGGCUAACUACGUGCCAGCAGCCGCGGUAAUAAGUGGGGGGCAAGCGUUAUCCGGAUUGACUGGGUGUAAAGGGAGCGUAUACGGCAGUGCAAGUCUGGAGUGAAAGGCGGGGGCUCAACCCCCGGACUGCUCUGGAAACUGUACGGCUGGAGUGCAGGAGAGGUAAGUGGAAUUCCUGGUGUAGCGGUGAAAUGCGUAGAUAUUAGGAGGAACACCAGUGGCGAAGGCGGCUUACUGGACUGUAACUGACGUUGAGGCUCGAAAGCGUGGGGAGCAAACAGGAUUAGAUACCCCUGUAGUC
rnacentral:rRNA from 1 species